GUCGAAUGCGAUCAAACAUCGUCUUCCGACUCGUUCCUAUUCGACAGAAGGAAGGAAAAGGGAAAGCUGGCUGGCCAAAAGACCUGAGGCUGAGAAAAGAGGACAGAACACACUCGAGUCUUUGGCAGAAAUGUCUGGCAUCCACAGCACAGCGCAGAACAGCUGCCCAUUGCCUCUGGUUGUUGGGUCGAGAGCAUUUCUGGGCCGGAGAACCGAUGCCACCCUGUCGUGAUGUUGGAUCUGCCAAGGAAAUAUUGACUUUCAAACCAGUUUGAAAUAUCGCAUGCUGGUCCACGUGAUAGAGGACGUGUCCAGGUCACGUUAGACGACUCGUUU
ensembl:lncRNA